rnacentral:rRNA from 1 species
UUGACGGGACCCGCACAAGCAGCGGAGCGUGUGGUUUAAUUCGUUGCUACACGAAGAACCUUACCUGGGUUUGACAUAUAGGUUGUAGGGAACUGAAAAGGACCGACCCUUCGGGGAGCCUAUACAGGUGUUGCAUGGCUGUCGUCAGCUCGUGUCGUGAGAUGUUCGGUUAAGUCCGCUAACGAGCGCAACCCUCGUCGUAUGUUAUAUGUGUCAUACGAGACUGCCGGUAAAAGCCGGAGGAAGGUGAGGAUGAUGUCAAGUCAGCAUGACCUUUAUAUCCAGGGCUACACACACGCUACAAUGGUCUGUACAAUGGGUAGCCAAGCCGCGAGGCGGAGCCAAUCCUGAAAGCAGGCCUCAGUUCAGAUUGCAGUCUGCAACUCGACUGCAUGAAGCCGGAGUUGCUAGUAACCGCAGGUCAGCAAUACUGCGGUGAAUACGUUCCCGGGUCUU